rnacentral:rRNA from 1 species
AUUUUGGACAAUGGGGGCAACCCUGAUCCAGCCAUCCCGCGUGUGCGAUGAAGGCCUUCGGGUUGUAAAGCACUUUUGGCAGGGAAGAAAAGGCACGGGCUAAUAUCCUGUGUCGCGGACGGUACCUGCAGAAUAAGCACCGGCGACCUACGUGCCAGCAGCCGCGGUAAUACGUAGGGUGCAAGCGUUAAUCGGAAUUACUGGGCGUAAAGCGUGCGCAGGCGGUUCGGCAAGAAGGAUGUGAAAUCCCAGGGCUUAACCUUGGAACUGCAUUCUUAACUGCCGGGCUAGAGUAUGUCAGAGGGGGGUAGAAUUCCGCGUGUAGCAGUGAAAUGCGUAGAGAUGCGGAGGAAUACCGAUGGCGAAGGCAGCCCCCUGGGAUAAUACUGACGCUCAUGCACGAAAGCGUGGGGAGCAAAC